AGCGAACGCUGGCGGCAGGCCUAACACAUGCAAGUCGAGCGGACAUCUUCGGAUGUUAGCGGCGGACGGGUGAGUAACGCGUGGGAACGUGCCCUUUGCUUCGGAAUAGCCUCGGGAAACUGGGAGUAAUACCGGAUGUACCCUUUGGGGGAAAGAUUUAUCGGCAAAGGAUCGGCCCGCGUUGGAUUAGGUAGUUGGUGGGGUAAUGGCCUACCAAGCCGACGAUCCAUAGCUGGUUUGAGAGGAUGAUCAGCCACACUGGGACUGAGACACGGCCCAGACUCCUACGGGAGGCAGCAGUGGGGAAUCUUAGACAAUGGGGGAAACCCUGAUCUAGCCAUGCCGCGUGAGCGAUGAAGGCCUUAGGGUUGUAAAGCUCUUUCACCGGGGAAGAUAAUGACGGUACCCGGAGAAGAAGCCCCGGCUAACUCCGUG
rnacentral:rRNA from 1 species